UGGUCCACUGAUGAUAAUUGGUGGCUUUUGAAUCAUAUGGAAUGAAUACCUCAUUUCUAGAACCCUGAGUUCCAA
rfam:Ailuropoda melanoleuca scaffold117_10, whole genome shotgun sequence.